rnacentral:lncRNA from 1 species
AAUAUGAACACUUUUCCUUUUUAUAUACCAAAUUCACAAACUUUCACCGUGGCAGUGUGUGAACCUCACGGCUUUUAAUAAUUUGAACUUUAAAACAAACACCAUAAUCUUACAAUAUGAACUCUCACAUAGCUCAAAUCACAAAUAUAUAAACACAAAGGCUUUCUUUACUGUUAAAGAACUUUCUUUGGAGGUUUGGACUUUCUCAAUUCUGAUUUUUGGAACUCUUCAUGUAGCUAGACAUAAACCUUUUUUCCAUGGGCGACCACUGUGUAGGAGAGCCCAUUGGCAACCACACACGCCGAGUUCUUAUGCUGCAAUAUAAAGCAAGUGCCAAUUAAAGCUCAUUGCAAGGGCAUUCUACCAUUAAAUAUAUUCCAGCAAGUGCCAAUUGUGCUCGAUUGCAUAUGUACUUGAAGGAAUUUUUACUAGACACCACAAUCAUCUACUUGUAUUCAUCAUUUACUGCUAUGACUAGUUGGAAGGACAACAGACCAAUCGAGUGGCAUGAGUUACGGUGGCCCAUUACACAUAAAAUUUGAACUUCUUUUUGUAGCAAGAGGGUUGGGGCGUGUUUUUUGUUUUGAACUAGCAGUACAUUAUUUCAGUCAGCUCGAUCUUCAUCAGUACUAGAAUGACUAGACAAGAAGUUUAGAUUUGUAGCAGCACACACACCAAACUUACAGAAUUUGUCUUCAAUUUUUUCUUCAACUUUUUUAGGUGAUUGCAUCAGUACUAGUAUGAUUGCAAAAAUAUUUCAGAUUUGUAGCAGCACACACAUGAAACUUAGAAUUUUAUGGAAAUGGACGAGUUCUGAUUUUUCGAACUCCUCCAAUGGUUGCACAUGAACUGAGCAAUAUAGCGACUAAAGGUACAGCAUUUUGAUCUGAAAAGCUACUUGACUGAAAAUUGACAUACACAUCCAAAAGUUCAAAACUACAAGACCUACCCUAUGUUUUUCUGCUACUACACUAUCAAAACUUUUAUUCAAAACGUCUGUGAACUUUAAACCUCAAUCUUCCUUCAACUGUAAUUUUCAUUUCGAAAAAAGCAUCCAAAAAGCAAAAGCAGAAACUGUACAAAAGGUUUUAGACAUCAAACCAGUAGAGAAUUGAAUAGGCAUCCGGCAGCAACUUGCUAAACAUAGCACGAGUCAUAUACAUACGCAUUUCAGCCGAUGAUGAAGCGAGCUAGCAAUCAUCCAUCAAGAUGCUCUUUUUUGGCUCACUAAGCUUGACAGGGGAGGAGCUGUACUUGUCGCAACAUCACUACUUGAACUGGUGUGAGUACCAUACCUGGAUGGACGGGGAAGAAGGGAGACGGUCGGGCGCUUCGCAGGGAGUAGGCAAGAGGAGGAGGCAUCCACAGGACGUGCUUGGAGCACCGUGCGCCGCCGGAUGGUGGCUGCAGGAGCGUUGCAGCUGGGCAGUGCGGCGGUUCGGACGACGGCAUCCAGGCUUGUCCGCCGGUGGCGCUGUGGAAGACAAGUGGAUCAGGCCGGCGGUGCAGUUGAAGCCAAGUGGAGCAUGCCGUCUCUAGCAAAUUUCAAGCACAAGUUAGCUAUUCUUUACUUGCAGCUGAGAAAUGGACCAAUGGUUAACUAUAAUGAAGUGCAGACAUAGUGAAAAAGCAAACUUUGAACUAUUACUUGCAGCUAAGAAAAUGUUCAAAGAAAAAUGAGUUCGCGUUCUCACUGUGUGGGUGCUCAAUGGGUGCAGCGCUGGGUGAAGAUGGUGGUCGCAGUUCCACUUGGACUGCGGUCAGAGCUCGACUUGGAUGCAUGGAUG